AACCCUUGAAAGGGGCAGUUGAUACUCAGAUUUUUUGCCGCUGGACUCAGGGUUACCAAAAUCUUUACAUUCUUUUUGAGAAGCCAAGACAUUUAUAUUUUUAUCUAUAAUUACCAAUUUUUAAAAUGCGAGUAUCUCUUUCACAUUAAUCUUAAUGGCUGUGUGCAUAAAACAAAAUUCUCCUUUUUGUGUAUUCUGACUUGCUGGCCACCAGUUUGCCAACUUAGAAUAACAAAAUUCCCCAAGGCCUUUCCAGAGUUAGUAUGCUAUGCUUUAUGCUCACAACUGCUAAGAACUUCUGUUUCUACACCCUCACUCCCUGAUCCACAUUUAGACAGUUUCAAAUCCUUGUGCAGAACCACAGCUCUAUUACUAUCUUAGCUCUAUUUUUCUGGACCUUAUCCCCAGCCAGUAAGCAGGCUCUCUGCCAGAUUAGUUAUAUGGCUUAGAAUUCUCAGAGAAUCUGAGAUCCAAAAAUAACUGGCUGUGAAAUGAAACAUCAUCCUCUACCUAUGGAUUAGUACUUUGAGCCAAAAGGAAAGUCAUCAGAAACUAUAGAAAUCCGAAGUCAUGGGUAUGGUGCUAACUGUAGGAUGUGUUACUGCAAAUACAAAAUCGAUUGUAUUUUGUGGUGGGGAGCUGUGGGCAUUCUAAGAGACAGAACUCUAAUUUACUCUUCUCAACAAGCCUUUUGCCCUUGUUGUCUGUGCCACCUGUGUCUCUGGAAGUUUAUCCAAUGGUCAGGCCAUUUUGUACAUUGAAAGAUCUAUAAUGUGCUGAGGUCAUGAACACCCCACCUACAGUUUACAGACAUGUGGUGGGAUUGCAAGUUACCUGGUUUCCUUUUACUUUAUUUAUCAGGUAUGAGAUACUUGAUACAAAUUUCACUUCUGAUAAAGUACUGAUAGUAGAGAAAAUACUAUUUCCUCUUUUCUAUUUUUAAUUUUUUUGUCUUUUUUUUUUUUUUUUUUUUUUUUAGGGCUGCACCAGUGGCACAUGGAGGUUCCCAGGCUAGGGGUUGAAUUGGAGCUGCAGCUGCUGGCCUAGACCACAGCCACAGCAACACGGGAUCUGAGCCGUGUCUGUGACCUACACCACAGCUCACUGCAAUGCCAGAUCCUUAACCCACUGACCAAGGCCAGGGAUCGAAUGUGCAUCCUCAUGGAUGCUAGUUGGGUUCGCCAACCACUGAGCCAUGAUGGGAACUCCAUUCUUUUUUUUUUUGUCUCUCUUUUUUAUUUUUAAAGAGAGACAACUUUAUGAUUAUAAAACAGGUACCUCUGCUGCUGGAGGAUGGGUCUUGAAGGUUCUCCAGGUAUGUGGAUCACUAGUGAAAACAGUAAUGACUUUAAAACAGUGAAUAGUUAAGGAAUAUGGCCAUAUUCCUGGUACCAAGAUAAAUACUUAGCAUGUAUCAUUUUACUUUAGCUUCAGAAUUACCAUAGAGGUGAGCACCAUUGUCGUUCCCAUCUUAUGGGUCAGAAAAUUGAAACUUGGAGAGAUGGUGACCUUCCCAGGGUCAUACUGUCACUCGCUGGUAGAAUUAGAACUGUACUAUCUCUUCUCUCCCACAAAGACACCAUCUAGAAAAUAGAGAAAGUUUCAUUAAUGAUACAGAAUGUGUAGAAUUUAUAGCAGCACCAUUAACGUAUUCAUUAAUGGUAUUUAUUGCUUUGUGACAGAGCCAUGUAAAUACCUGGCUAUUAAUAUUUUCCAUGGACACCUCCUUGUGGAAGUCUGCAAGACUGAUCUUUCAUAUAGCAGGAUAAAGUAGUUACUGGACUAGGUCACUGCAGAGAUUUGAAUCAGCCAUGCCUAGAAAUGAAGCAUCAAGGGGCUGGCUUCAAGGUACUAUCUCAUUCUGAAUCUCUAAAAUGCUUUAUUCUAGUAAUUUGGGAGAUCUCUUCCUUGAAAAUCAUUUUCCAUCUUUUUAUAAGUAAUACUGGAAUAAAAAGGAAAAGAAUUCUAUAAGCCAGUGUAGCAUAAAGUUUACAUGAUUAAAUUCUAAUAUGAACUACCAUGGAUUCAAAUUCCAUUCAGUUUCUAGCUGUUUGAUGUUGGACCUGGCCCUUAACUUCUCUGAGUCUCAAUAUUUUCAUCUGAAAAGAGGAAUAAAAAUCUCAGAAUUCUGGGGAUAAUUAAAUGAGAGUAUGCAUGUAAAAUCUCUAGCAUAGUGCUUGGCACAUACUAGGUAUACAAGGAAAGCUUUUUUUGUUUUGUUUUUGCCCUUUUUUCCCACUGCAGUUGCUAUCCACAUACUCAAAUUGAAAUUUUGAAUCUAAUAUUAUCUUGACUACGUGCAGUUUAUUUUGUCUAUUUUGCUUUCAAGGUGUUUGCACACACUUUCUAUCAUUUGGGCACUUUUGCCAGAACAGGGCAGAUCAUUAAUCCUCAUUUUAUGCAUGGAGAAAUGCCUAAGCAAAGAUGACCAGCAUCUCUACAGAAACAGCCUAUACUUUGCCCUCUGCCCAACACUGUCUUCUUAUUUGUAGAGCUACAGACAGAAAGUGACUUUGUUAAAAAGUUUGCUCAUGGCCUGUUGUUCCAACUAUUGGUCCAAGAAUUUUGGUUGCAAAUGUUGUUCCCACCAAUGUACAAUACAGUAAGGAAGAUAUUGUUUGCUAGAUAAAUGAAAUGACUAUAGAGAAGAUGACAUCAUCUUUUGUGACAUAAAUCACAGACCACCCUUAGAUGCCAUAACUCACGACACCUUUUCAACCCCACACUACCCUACUCAACAAACAAUGGAUCAAAACCUCCUUCAGCCCAUCUAACCUUCACUAUUGGAUGUUUAAGAAGCUCAAUCUUCAGUUUGAUCAUAUCCAUCUGAUUUUAGGUCUUACUUAAGGUAAUUAGCCUGACCUGCUAAGCUUUCCCAACAAGUACUGUUUAGCAAGUCUCAGAGCCACUAUUUAUGGUGUUUCUAACAUCAAGGAUGCCCUCUCUCUCUUCCCUUCUCAUUAAGUAUUCAGGUUUUAUACACUGUUCAUGUUAAACCAAACUAGAGAUAUACAGACAUACCUAAUAAAGUGCUGCCUCAUCAUACAGCUUUAAUAAAUUGUAUGUCUAUCUUUCAUUAAGAUCUAUUUCCUGUUUCUCUGACAUUCUAGCCCACACACCCUCCUUCCUUUGACCUCAGCUCAAAGGAGAACAAUUUCAAGUGCAUGCUGUAAGUACAAAGCUUAGGUCAUAGUUUUCUUCUAUUGUUUCUUUUGUUACUGCCAAAAUUCUCAUCCUAGGCAUUCUUGCCUAAACAUAACACAACUUCUCAAAUGCUGUCUGUGUCAAUAAUUUCUCCUCUCUCCCACAAUGUAUCAUUUCAACUGACUCCAGAGUGAUUUUCUUCCAGUGAAAAUAAGAUCCUGUUUUUCUGUAAUUGGAAAACCUUCUCUGACUCUCAUUACCUGCAAGAUAAAGUUAAAAUGCCUUAGCCUAGGGGUCUCUGAACAGCCCCAUUAUUUUAUCAUCACUUCCAUUUUUAUUUGUGUUAUUCUCUUAUUUGACUCUCUUCUCCACACCUAUCCCAUCUGAUUUCCCCUCAUCUAGAUCCUAUCCACUCUUAAGAAUUUAGAGUGAGUUUUAUUUUCUCCAUAAACAUUUCUGACCUCAAGCUCAGAAUUAGCACUUUCUAUGUCAAUCUCUUUACACCUCCUUUGUAACCUUUGGCUCAUCCAUUAGAUUGGAAACUUCUUUAGCAUUUGGGCUGCCUUAUUUGUGUGGCAUUACAACAUCUAAUAUAGUUCCUAAUUAUUAUUAUUAUUUUGGUGAGAAGGAAGACUAUUAAGGCAGGAAAGCUCUUCAACCAAUGCCAUAAAGACUGUGAACAGUUAAUAAAUGUAAGAUGUGUGUAGUUACAGAUUACAUCAGGAAACAACAGGCUACACCAGCUCUUUUAUGUUUCCUUAGAGGUACACAUUUAUUAAGUGUGCCCUUCAAAAUAGUGUAAACUUGAGAGAGUUCUUGGUGAAUGUUUACAGGGCAUGCAGUGGAGCCCAGAGGAGUUACUUAAAUCUUCUGUUCCUUUACUCUCACCUUUCCUCCCCGCAUUGCCCUCUGUUCCUCCACCUUACCAACCCAUGGGGCAGGCAGGGGCAAACAGGAGAUCUCAAAAGCUUAAUAAAUCCAGUAUGCAGAAUAAGUUCACUUUUUAGCUCUUUGUCAGGACAGAUCCCAAAGAGAGGUGUUUUGUGUUAGAAAUAAGAAAGCCCACAUAAACUAGCAAAUUAGCAUAGACUAGCCCCAGUUAAGUCUGGUCUUGAAAAAAUUGGGCAGAAAACGAGUAAGGCAACCCAUGGUAAUUAAAAAUGUAACUUCUAGUGCAAACACUGCAUGGAUCUUUGCAGGAAAACUCAUUGUUGUUGGGGAAGUCCUCUCUAGAGGUUGGUAUUUAGUGCAAAGAAUAGUGGAGAAAUUGAAGAUCUGGGGUUUAGGGAGGGUGGGGUUAUAUUUGUAACUUGUUUAAUUAAGGUGAACAAUUUGAGGGUGUUUUCUAGGAUCAUGAGUAAAUAAACAGUCUUUUAUUUAUUUAUUUUUUAAAAUUCUGGCUACUGCUCAUUCUUCUGAUUAGUAGGGCUGAGGCCCCAAAGUGGUGGUGAGUUCCUGGCAAGCAUUUUGUGCAACGUGACAGUGUACCCUACACUUUCUACCCUGACAGAGCUGAGUGUGCUAAAAGUGAGUAUCUGACUCAAGCUAGCUGCAGCCUGGAUUUAUCUGGAGUCAAUUUGUCCAGGUGACUGAACAUGGAACUUGAAGCCCACCAAUAGCCAUAAGCUUCACUUGACCUCAGAACAAGAGGGAGCUAUUGUGCAACAAGAGAAAGGUGAUAAUGACCCAGAGAGGAGAGAAAGACUGACCUAGUGUUUCCUCAUCUCCUUCCCUGAAUUCCCCCAUGUCUUGACCUGCCAUAGGAAUGAACACUUCCACCAUUGCUAAUUCCUUCAUUUACAUUCAGGCAAGAAUUCAUUUUCAAGGAGUUCCCAUCGUGGCUCAGUGGUUAACGAACCCGACUAUAAUCCAUGAGGAUGUGGGUUUAAUCCCUGGACUUGCUCUGUGGGUUGAGGAUCUGGCAUUGCCAUUAGCUGUGGUGUAGGUCACA
rnacentral:lncRNA from 1 species